GAUUUGUUGAGCUCGGGUUGGCUGACGAAUUUUAGGAGGGCGGGGCCGGAGUUUUUCCAUAGGCUGGGUUUCAUGGUUUUCAACAGCGUCUGGCGAAAAUUAAAAAGUGUACCCUUGAGUUCUGGUAGGGGGCAGCAGUGAGUCAGUAUUGAUGAUGGAAGAACACGUGCAGUAUGAUUUCUUUUCCAAGGCUGCCUCAAGGCUGCAUGUCCCAGGGCUGCUGUGGGAGAAGGGUGAGGUGGUUGUGUCGUAGUG